UCUAAUAUGGCAGAAAUAAUGCAAUGGAUUUAAACCCCAUAAAUAAAGAUUAUUCUUUUUUUAGAA
rnacentral:tRNA from 1 species